UACGUAGGGUGCAAGCGUUGUCCGGAAUUAUUGGGCGUAAAGGGCGCGUAGGCGGUCCUUCAAGUCUCUCGUGAAAUCCCUCGGCUUAACUGAGGACGUGCGGGAGAUACUGCUGGGCUUGAGUCCGGAAGAGGGUGGUGGAAUUCCCAGUGUAGCGGUGAAAUGCGUAGAUAUUGGGAGGAACACCGGUGGCGAAGGCGGCCACCUGGGCCGGAACUGACGCUGAGGCGCGAAAGCGUGGGGAGCGAACAGG
rnacentral:rRNA from 1 species